rnacentral:rRNA from 1 species
CCUACGGGCGGCAGCAGUGAGGAAUAUUAGUCAAUGGGCGAGAGCCUGAACCAGCCAAGUCGCGUGAGGGAGUACUGCCCUAUGGGUUGUAAACCUCUUUUGUCGGGGAGCACAAGUCGGACGUGUCCGGCUGUGAGAGUACCCGAAGAAAAAGCAUCGGCUAACUCCGUGCAAGCAGCCGCGGUAAUACGGAGGAUGCGAGCGUUAUCCGGAUCUAUUGGGUUUAAAGGGUGCGCAGGCGGAUUUUUAAGUUAGCGGUAAAAUCGUGGGGCUCAACCCCAUCCAGCCGUUGAAACUGGGGAUCUAGAGUGUGCGAGAGGUAUGCGGAAUGCGUGGUGUAGCGGUGAAAUGCAUAGAUAUCACGAAGAACCCCGAUUGCGAAGGCAGCUUACUAAACUGUGACUGACAUUGAUGCUCGAAAGUGUGGGUAUCAAACAGGAUUAGAUACCCCAGUAGUC